rnacentral:rRNA from 2 species
ACGCUAGCUACAGGCUUAACACACGCAAGUCGAGGGGAAACGAUAUUGGAAGCUUGCUUCCGAAUAGGCGUCGACCGGCGCACGGGUGAGUAACGCGUAUCCAACCUGCCCAUCACUUGGGGAUAACCUUGCGAAAGUAAGACUAAUACCCAAUGACGUCUCUAGAAGACAUCUGAAAGAGAUUAAAGAUUUAUCGGUGAUGGAUGGGGAUGCGUCUGAUUAGCUUGUUGGCGGGGUAACGGCCCACCAAGGCGACGAUCAGUAGGGGUUCUGAGAGGAAGGUCCCCCACAUUGGAACUGAGACACGGUCCAAACUCCUACGGGAGGCAGCAGUGAGGAAUAUUGGUCAAUGGGCGAGAGCCUGAACCAGCCAAGUAGCGUGCAGGAUGACGGCCCUAUGGGUUGUAAACUGCUUUUAUAAGGGAAUAAAGUGGGAGUCGUGACUCCUUUUGCAUGUACCUUAUGAAUAAGGACCGGCUAAUUCCGUGCCAGCAGCCGCGGUAAUACGGAAGGUCCGGGCGUUAUCCGGAUUUAUUGGGUUUGAAGGGAGCGUAGGCCGGAGAUUAAGCGUGUUGUGAAAUGUAGACGCUCAACGUCUGCACUGCAGCGCGAACUGGUUUCCUUGAGUACGCACAAAGUGGGCGGAAUUCGUGGUGUAGCGGUGAAAUGCUUAGAUAUCACGAAGAACUCCGAUUGCGAAGGCAGCUCACUGGAGCGCAACUGACGCUGAAGCUCGAAAGUGCGGGUAUCGAACAGGAUUAGAUACCCUGGUAGUCCGCACGGUAAACGAUGGAUGCCCGCUGUUGGUU